AUGAAGCAACCAUAUCAUCAUAGGAGUAAGCCUGCACACAGAUCGAAGCAAAACCACCGAGCGAGUAGCAAGCAAGCGUGGCAUCUAUCUAUCCCAGGGGAGGAGGACAAGCGAGCGAGUAGGCUGCUGAUCUCACUGACCGGACAUGAGGGCGGCGGUGUAGUCGUUCUCUGCGCGGAGGUGGGCGAGGACGGCCGGGUCGGCGCGCGCGUCGUCGCGGAGCCAGUAGUAGUCGUCGACGCGCACGUCCCCGUGCUCCGCCAGCUUCCGCGGCACCUUCCUGGCCACCGGCGCCGCCGGCGUUGGCGCGGCCAUCGCGGCGGAGGAGCUGAGGGCGGAGCUCGCGUGGGGUAG
rnacentral:rRNA from 1 species